rnacentral:rRNA from 1 species
CGCGUAGGCGGCCGCGCAAGUUCAAGGUGAAAUCCCUCGGCCCAACCGAGGAACUGCCUUGAAUACUGCGCGGCUUGAGGCCGGGAGAGGGUGGUGGAAUUCCCAGUGUAGCGGUGAAAUGCGUAGAUAUUGGGAGGAACACCAGUGGCGAAGGCGACCACCUGGACCGGUUCUGACGCUGAGGCGCGAAAGCGUGGGGAGCAAACA